AACGAACGCUGGCGGCAUGCCUAACACAUGCAAGUCGAACGAGACCUUCGGGUCUAGUGGCGCACGGGUGCGUAGCGCGGGGGAAGCUGCCCUUAGGUUCGGAAUACCACCCCGACGGGGGUGCUAAUGCAGGAUAAUGUCUUCGGACACAAGAUUGAUCGUGCUUGGAUGGGCCGGCGUUGGAUUAGCUAGUUGCGAGUGUAAAAGCCUAUCACGGCGACGAUCCAUAGCUGGUCUGAGAGGAUGAUCAGCCACACUGGGACUGAGACGCGGCCCAGACUCUUACGCGAGGCAGGAGUGGGUAAUAUUGGACAACGGGCGAAAGGCUGAUCGAGCUAGGCCGGGUGAGUGAUGAAGGUCUUAGGGUUGUAAAGCUCUUUUACCCGGGAUGAUAAUGACAGUACCGGGAGAAUAAGCACCGGCUAACUCCGUG
rnacentral:rRNA from 1 species